GAUGAACGCUGGCGGCGUGCUUAACACAUGCAAGUCGAACGGAAAGGCCCAAGCUUGCUUGGGUACUCGAGUGGCGAACGGGUGAGUAACACGUGGGUGAUCUGCCCUGCACUUCGGGAUAAGCCUGGGAAACUGGGUCUAAUACCGGAUAGGACCACUUCUUGGAUGUUGUGGUGGAAAGUUUUUUCGGUGUGGGAUGAGCUCGCGGCCUAUCAGCUUGUUGGUGGGGUAAUGGCCUACCAAGGCGUCGACGGGUAGCCGGCCUGAGAGGGUGUACGGCCGCAUUGGGACUGAGAUACGGCCCAGCCUCCUACGGGAGGCAGCAGUGGGGAAUAUUGCACAAUGGGCGCCAGCCUGAUGCAGCGACGCCGCGUGGGGGAUGACGGCCUUCGGGUUGUAAACUCCUUUCGCUAGGGACGAAGCGUUUUGUGACGGUACCUGGAGAAGAAGCACCGGCUAACUACGUG
rnacentral:rRNA from 1 species